CCGUUAACGAACGAGACCUUAACCUGCUAAAUAGUUAGGCUAACUACGGUUGGUCGUCAACUUCUUAGAGGGACUAUUGACUAUUAGUCAAUGGAAGUUUGAGGCAAUAACAGGUCUGUGAUGCCCUUAGAUGUUCUGGGCCGCACGCGCGCUACACUGAUCAAGUCAGCGAGCUUACAACCUUGGCCGGAAGGUCUGGGUAAUCUUUUGAAACUUGAUCGUGCCGGGGAUAGUCCAUUGCAAUUAUUGGACUUCAACGAGGAAUUCCUAGUAAGCGUGAGUCAUCAGCUCGCGUUGAUUACGUCCCUGCCCUUUGUACACACCGCCCGUCGCUACUACCGAUUGAAUGGCUUC
rnacentral:rRNA from 1 species